GAUGAAGAACGUAGCGAAAUGCGAUAAGUAAUGUGAAUUUCAGAAUUCAGUGAAUCAUCGAAUCUUUGAACGCACAUUGCGCCCCUUGGUAUUCCGAGGGGCAUGCCUAUUCGAGCGUCAUUAUCACCCCUCAAGCCUAGCUUGGUGUUGAGGCCUGCUGUCAAGGCAGCCUCUAAAAUCAGUGGCAGUGCUGUCAGGCUCUAAGCGUAGUAAAUCUAAUCGCUAUAGACACCUGGUGGACACUCGCCAGAACCCCCCCAUUUUUUAAUGAUUGACCUCGGAUUAGGUAGGGAUACCCGCUGAACUUAAGCAUAUCAAUAAGCGGAGGA
rnacentral:misc_RNA from 1 species